CUACGGGAUGCACCAGUGGGGAAUAUUGCACAAUGGAGGAAACUCUGAUGCAGCAACGCCGCGUGGAGGAUGACACUUUUCGGAGCGUAAACUCCUUUUAUAUAGGAAGAAGAUGACGGUACUAUAUGAAUAAGCGCCGGCUAACUCCGUGCCAGCAGCCGCGGUAAUACGGGGGGCGCAAGCGUUACUCGGAAUCACUGGGCGUAAAGAGCGUGUAGGCGGAUUAAAAAGUCAGAAGUGAAAUCCUAUAGCUUAACUAUAGAACUGCUUCUGAAACUCUUAAUCUAGAAUGUGGGAGAGGUAGAUGGAAUUUCUGGUGUAGGGGUAAAAUCCGUAGAGAUCAGAAGGAAUACCGAUUGCGAAGGCGAUCUACUAGAACAUUAUUGACGCUGAGACGCGAAAGCGUGGGGAGCAAACAGGAUUAGAUACCCGGGUAGUC
rnacentral:rRNA from 1 species